GAUGAACGCUGGCGGCGUGCCUAAUACAUGCAAGUCGAGCGAACGGACGAGAAGCUUGCUUCUCUGAUGUUAGCGGCGGACGGGUGAGUAACACGUGGAUAACCUACCUAUAAGACUGGGAUAACUUCGGGAAACCGUAGCUAAUACCGGAUAAUAUUUUGAACCGCAUGGUUCAAAAGUGAAAGACGGUCUUGCUGUCACUUAUAGAUGGAUCCGCGCUGCAUUAGCUAGUUGGUAAGGUAACGGCUUACCAAGGCAACGAUGCAUAGCCGACCUGAGAGGGUGAUCGGCCACACUGGAACUGAGACACGGUCCAGACUCAUACGGGAGGCAGCAGUAGGGAAUCUUCCGCAAUGGGCGAAAGCCUGACGGAGCAACGCCGCGUGAGUGAUGAAGGUCUUCGGAUCGUAAAACUCUGUUAUUAGGGAAGAACAUAUGUGUAAGUAACUGUGCACAUCUUGACGGUACCUAAUCAGAAAGCCACGGCUAACUACGUG
rnacentral:rRNA from 1 species